UACGUAGGGGGCAAGCGUUGUCCGGAUUUAUUGGGCGUAAAGAGCGUGUAGGCGGUUUGGUAGGUCCGCUGUGAAAACUCGAGGCUCAACCUCGAGACGCCGGUGGAAACCAUCAGACUAGAGUCCGGAAGAGGAGAGUGGAAUUCCUGGUGUAGCGGUGAAAUGCGCAGAUAUCAGGAAGAACACCCGUGGCUAAGGCGGUUCUCUAGUACGGUACUGACGCUGAGACGCGAAAGCGUGGGGAGCGAACAGG
rnacentral:rRNA from 1 species